rnacentral:hammerhead_ribozyme from 1 species
AUCUAGUUGACACGUCCCAAAUAGGACGAGACGCGCGUCAAACUGGAU